GGCCGCCGCCACCCCAACCUGAAUACGCCCCGUCUCAGCUGAUCUCCGAAGCUAAGCAGGGUCGGGCCUGCUUCGUCCUGGGAUGGGAGGAACUUCAGAAACUGCUUCCG
rnacentral:rRNA from 1 species